AGGCCAUGAAUCUGGUCUUGGGACACUGUCAGGUGGGCAGUUUGACUGGGGCGGUCGCCUCCCAAAAGGGAACGGAGGCGCUCAAAGGUUCUCUCAGUACGGUCGGAAAUCGUACGUAGAGUGUAAAGGCAAAAGAGAGCUUGAUUGCAAGACAUACAGGUCGAGCAAGGAUGAAAAUCGGACUUAGUGAUCCGGUGGUUCUGCGUGGAAGGGCCAUCGCUCAACGGAUAAAAGCUACCCUGGGGAUAACAGGCUUAUCUCCCCCAAGAGUCCACAUCGACGGGGAGGUUUGGCACCUCGAUGUCGGCUCAUCACAUCCUGGGGCUGUAGUAGGUCCCAAGGGUUGGGCUGUUCGCCCAUUAAAGUGGUACGCGAGCUGGGUUCAGAACGUCGUGAGACAGUUCGGUCCCUAUCCGUCGCAGGCGUAGGAAAUUUGAGAAGACCUGUCCUUAGUACGAGAGGACCGGGAUGGACGUACCUCUGGUGUACCAGUUGUUCUGCCAAGGG
rnacentral:rRNA from 1 species